rnacentral:tRNA from 1 species
AGUUAAUGAGCUUGAUAAGCAUAUGUUUUGAAAACAUAAGAUAGAGUAUAAGUCCUCUAUUAACUU